rnacentral:rRNA from 1 species
UACGUAGGGGCCUAGCGUUGUCCGGAAUUAUUGGGCGUAAAGAGCUCGUAGGCGGUUCGGCAAGUCGGAUGUGAAAUCUCCACGCUCAACGUGGAGGGGUCAUUCGAAACUGCCGUGACUCGAGUCCGGUAGGGGAGUGUGGAAUUCCCGGUGUAGCGGUGAAAUGCGCAGAUAUCGGGAGGAACACCAGUAGCGAAGGCGGCGCUCUGGGCCGGUAUUGACGCUGAGGCGCGAAAGCCAGGGGAGCAAACGGG